rnacentral:misc_RNA from 1 species
AGACUUGGUGGCUAUGAAGUGGUAUGCUUAUUUUGCUUUUGAACUUAUGGCUAUUUUUAUUGCUCUGUUCUGCAUAUCUGUUAACAUUAUCACUUUCAUCUACCAGUUUCUAUUAGUUAAUUUUGGCAUUGCUUGCUAGAGGCCUGUACUUGAAUGGACUAUUGCUUUGUUAUAUCACAAAUAUCCUGAUAUCCGGAAAUGAUUGAGUCAUGAGGAUGAAAAUCUGUUGAGGUCACGAAUGUCUAUUGCUACAUAAGUCUUAAUUGUGGUUUAUUUUAUUUUAUUUUAUU